AAAGGAAUUGACGGGGACCCGCACAAGCAGUGGAGCAUGUGGUUUAAUUCGAUGCAACGCGAAGAACCUUACCCAGGCUUGACAUGCACUGGACGUAUCUAGAAAUAGAUAUUCCCUUCGGGGCCGGUGCACAGGUGCUGCAUGGCUGUCGUCAGCUCGUGCCGUGAGGUGUUUGGUUAAGUCCAGCAACGAGCGCAACCCUUAUCAUUAGUUGCCAGCACGUAAUGGUGGGAACUCUAAUGAGACUGCCCGGGUUAACCGGGAGGAAGGUGAGGAUGACGUCAAGUCCGCAUGGCCCUUAUGUCUGGGGCUACACACGUGCUACAAUGGGCGAAACAAUAGGAAGCGAAACCGUGAGGUGAAGCAAAUCCAGCAAAUUCGCCCCCAGUUCAGAUUGAAGUCUGCAACUCGACUUCAUGAAGCCGGAAUUGCUAGUAAUGGCGUGUCAGCAACAACGCCGUGAAUACGUUCCCGGGUCUUGUACACACCGCCCGU
rnacentral:rRNA from 1 species